AGCGUGGGUGAUGAAAAUCCGACCUUAGGUAGGUCUUUUUUUGGGUCGUUUUGGUUCAAAUCAUAAGAUCUAUCAAUGAUAGGACUUGUCAUAGUUACUCUGACACGCG